AUCAUCUCACCCACAUCAUCUCCUCACCAUCAUCUCAUCCACAUCAUCUCAUCCACAUCAUCUCGUGGCCAGACAAUAGCUGACGUCUGUGGACCCCCAGGGCUGCCUCACCCCAGCCCCUUCCCCUUUACAGUCCCGCCCCCUGCAUCUGCAGAAAGGCAGGUUUUGACGCUUGAAAGCGCCCUGUCUUCUUGGUGGGCUGGCCUCCUCAAUAAACGCCUCAUAGGAUUCAACCUGCCAUCGUGGCUGGACACAGCGACAGGCAGCCCGAGCCCACCCGGGGUUCCCGGUGACACCAUGAGAAAUACGUAAUGGUCAGCUACAAAGGGAAACUAUCAUUAGUUUCGUGUGAGGCCUCAUAAAUUUAACUUCAACCUUUGCUUGUUUACAAGCAGGAGCUGCCACCCCUACGCCACCAGCCACCGCCCAAGGGUGAGUCACUUCAGGGACUUCAGUUUCAUCUCAGAAAUGAAGGCUUUGCAGAGUCUCUCCAGAUCUAAGUGUGGAGUCAAAUGAGACAGAUUGAUGGACAAGGAUCCAUUAUUACUGCAGGCAAAGAACUGGACUCGUAGGAUGCAACAGGACCCCUUCAUUUAAUGAAAAAUAGCUUUCAUUUUUAGUGAUAAAAUACAGUGUACAAGUAUAAAGAGUUCAUGCACUUCAUUCGUUCGUUCAUUCAUUCAUUCAUUCAUUCACUCAUUCAUUCUUACAUUCAUUCAUUCUGGUCCUGUUACUGAUGAAGCAGGGAGCAAGCCCCUGCUGGGAACGCCAGUCUCCUUUUGGGCGGCUCCCUCUGAAAAAGGUUGUUGCUGACAGCACGGAGGGCGAAGGGCAAGGCCGGCACAGACCUCUGACCUCCGACGGACACUACACAUCACCCCCGGCGGCUAGGAAUGAGCCCCACCCCGCAGGCCUCGCUGCAGGCGCUGUCACUGCCCAACGGGACACUCUGCCCAGUGUCGCUGUGGUUCCCAGCAUCACGUCGGUUCUGCCUUCUUCACGUUGUUCUGUGAGUUGCUCCCGUUCGCCUCCUCCAGCACAAGCACAUCUGGAACGUUCCAGGCCGAUCUCGACUGUGGGGGAAACCGCACCUCCAGGUGGUGACAGGAGGAGCUACACCUGUUAUCGCCGCAUCCGGGUAGGCGCUUUAAGGAUGAACAGGAGAAAGAAGAAUGAGAAAAAUAAUGUAAUGGAGAUGCCGGGGAUCGAACCCGGGGCCUCAUACAUGCAAAGCAUGCGCUCUACCACUGAGCUACAUCCCCCAGGCCUGCAACACCACUUUCUGGAAUUCUCUGCUAGAGUCUCAUCUUAAAAUCUUGUUUUCCUGAAUAAAUUUUAUACAUUU